rnacentral:rRNA from 1 species
AGUGAACGCUGGCGGUAGGCCUAACACAUGCCAGUCGAACGGCAGCACAGUAAGAGCUUGCUCUUACGGGUGGCGAGUGGCGGACGGGUGAGGAAUACAUCGGAAUCUACUUUUUCGUGGGGGAUAACGUAGGGAAACUUACGCUAAUACCGCAUACGACCUACGGGUGAAAGCAGGGGAUCUUCGGACCUUGCGCGAUUGAAUGAGCCGAUGUCGGAUUAGCUAGUUGGCGGGGUAAAGGCCCACCAAGGCGACGAUCCGUAGCUGGUCUGAGAGGAUGAUCAGCCACACUGGAACUGAGACACGGUCCAGACUCCGACGGGAGGCAGCAGUGGGGAAUAUUGGACAAUGGGCGCAAGCCUGAUCCAGCCAUACUGCGUGGGUGAAGAAGGCCUUCGGGUGGUAAAGCCCUUUUGUUGGGAAAGAAAAGCAGCAGGUUAAUACCCCGCUGUUCUGACGGUACCCAAAGAAUAAGCACCGGCUAACUUCGUG